rnacentral:tRNA from 1 species
CAGGCGGAGGUGCAAGUGGGAGCAUAUGGGCUUUGGAAGCCUGGGGUUGCGGGUUCGAUCCCCGCUCGCCUGAC